rnacentral:rRNA from 1 species
AUUGAACGCUGGCGGCAUGCUUUACACAUGCAAGUCGAACGGCAGCGCGGGGCAACCUGGCGGCGAGUGGCGAACGGGUGAGUAAUAUAUCGGAACGUACCCAGAAGUGGGGGAUAACGUAGCGAAAGUUACGCUAAUACCGCAUACGAUCUACGGAUGAAAGUGGGGGACCCUUCGGGCCUCAUGCUUUUGGAGCGGCCGAUAUCUGAUUAGCUAGUUGGUGAGGUAAAGGCUCACCAAGGCGACGAUCAGUAGCUGGUUUGAGAGAACGACCAGCCACACUGGAACUGAGACACGGUCCAGACUCCUACGGGAGGCAGCAGUGGGGAAUUUUGGACAAUGGGGGGCAACCCUGAUCCAGCAAUGCCGCGUAAGUGAAGAAGG